rnacentral:rRNA from 1 species
AAGGGGCGUCGGCCCCGAGUAGAGUGGCGAGCGGGUGAGUAACACGUGGGUGAUCUACCUCUGAGUGGGGGAUAACGUUCCGAAAGGAGCGCUAAUACCGCACGACAUCUUGGGUUUGAAGACAUGGACACCAAAGCCGGGGACCGCACGACCCGGCGCUUGGAGAGGAGCCCGCGCCUGAUUAGAUAGUUGGUGAGGUAAUGGCUCACCACGGCGACGAUCACUAUCCGGCCCGAGAGGGCGGACGGCCACACUGGGAGUGAGACACGGCCCAGACUCUUACGGGAGGCACCACUGGGGAAUUGUUCGCAAUGGGCGCAAGCCCGACGACGCAACGCCGCGUGGAGGAGGAAGGUCUUCGGA